CGCGUCUCCCCGCGCCAUCCUCCACCGCCUCCGCCACCGUGGCCUCGCCGUCGCCACCGCGUCCUCGGCACGCGUCGGCCUCCUUUGCCGGCGGCCGCCAGCCGCCAGCCGCCGCCGCCGGCCAGAUCCGGCGUGGAUCCGCCGGAUCCAACCGCGGGGAGGCCGGAUCCGGCCGCGGCGGCGUCGGAUCCACCGUCUCCACGCCGCGUCGUCAGCCUUGCACCGCGCGCCGGCCCGCCAUCCACGCGUGGAGAUGGGGCGCCGUCGGGGGUUGGCCUCGCCGCCGCCAUCCUGGCUGGCCACGCGGUUCUCCGGCGGCGCGCUCCGGCGGCGGCGAGGGGAGGGAGAGGAGGAGAGAGUGGCGACGGAGGCGCUAGGGUUUCCCCCCGAUUCGCCCACGCGUGGGCGACGCGGGGGCGAGCACAAGACUUUUUCCCGGCCAUUCAAAAUUCACAUUUUCGGCAUAAAUAGUACUGUUGUUUUGCCCAGAAAAUAUAUAUAGAGAGAGACUUUAUACAUUCAAACUUUAUAUAUAGAAACUUUAUAGAUGGAAACUUUACAUAGGAAUAUCUUCGUACCAAAAUUUAUGCAGAUAAAAUUAAAACAAAUAAAAAUAAAACAUCCAGAUGGACCUGGGGCAAACCACAUGCAUGGCAUGCCUGCUCGAUGGGCCUUCCGUGGAAAACAUGCAAGCAAAAAGAGAAAACACUAACUAGAAAAAAUAAGUGAGAGCCUGUGAUUAAUCAAAUUGUUGCUCGUAUUUGCCAAAAAGAGAAACUAAACAAUCCCGUAUGUAGUUUGUUGUGCCAAAAAAGGAACUUUAAAUCUAAUCUUGCGUGGUGAGCACGAGCGAUUCGCUCAUUAGCUUUUUUUGACAAUAAGGUGGUCAAGAUUUUAUAUUUUCUCCUAAAACUAGGGUGGCUUGGUUCUACGAAUCUUUUACCCAUAAUUCACCAACUCACUCUUACACCUACAUUACUCAUUCAUCAAAUCCGACGGACGAAAAUCAUCCGGCCAAAUCAAAUGAUCGCUGCGGCGUAGGGAUAACCCGGGCGAAGGAAUCGCGUGAUCUUUUCCCUUUCCUUCCGUGCGGACGCGAUCUUUCCUUCCACGCCAAUCUGCGCGAUCUCCUCCCCUUUCCAUUUCCCUUCACCUACCAAUCUGCGCUCAUCCGCGCGCCCAGCACUCCCUGCCGUGCGCCAUCGACGUUCCUCCAAACAGUGAAGAUCACAUCCCCUUCUCCACCAUCAGGCGCCGUCGCAUUCUCCGCCACGAAGAUCAUCGUCGUCUCAAGCGCCGUUGUUGAUCCCCUGCCGCCAGAGCGCAGCAGCGACGACGACGGCAACAGUAGCCAACCAGUGCAGGGGGAGACGGCACUGCGUGAUCCUCGUCCUGCUACAGAUAUAUUGCAGUGUUUUUUUUUCAGUUUCUUAAGAUCUCUUGUUCAACAAAUUCUAAUUCAUAAAAGUUAACAAGUUUUUUAGCUGAUCAACCGUUGCUUUCUGACUCUUUGUUUCUUUGAACACUGAUGUUUUGAUUCCUCUCUUGGAGUUCAUGGAGAUAAACGGGCAGGUAAGGUAUUGGAUCAGCCAUGGUCAGGAGGUAAUGGAGAUCCUGCGAGCUGAUUCGAAGUCUAUUUCUUAUCGAUUGGAGUGUCGACUUCAGCUCCUGAAUGAACCUGAUCUUUCUGCAGCAGUCCAUGAGGUAACUCCUGUUUUCUUCCAGGUUUAUUAGGGAUGCAGGAGUGCAGCACGACGAGAAGGACCGCUGCAUACGAGAUGCUCGUGACAAUGCCUCACAGCAAGAUGAUACUCAUAACUUUCUCUGACUUUUCUUCUUUUGAUAUAUUGCUGGGAGAUAAAGGAAACUUUUAAUGUUAGACAUACGCUGCCACUGUUGAAGUGAAAUGAUACCAUCCGUCGUACAUAUAUGGGAUUUCUAAUGUUCGUUUCCUAUGUAAGCAAAGGAGUGAACAAAAAGCUGGUGUAUGAUUACUCUACCAAUACCUGAUCUAGACAGAUAGCACUAUAUGUAAGCAGAGAUGCAUGCUCUGAUGCAGUUGAUUUUUUAUAUUUAUAAUGUGGCAAUUAAGGUUUUGCCACUCGAUGUCUAUGAUAUGUGGUCUCUCUUGUGUCUAUGACAUAUGGGUCCAGUGACAAAUCAUUUAAUCUGGUGAUAGGUGAUAGGGAUUUCAUGACUCUAGAGGAUCGGCAAUGGUUGUAAGCAUUGGCAGAUUUGAUUCACCGAGAAGUUUUUCCUCAGUGACACUGUUGUCCACAAGGUUGGUAGGUUCCUCUUCUUGCUUUCCUCAUUGAUGUAUGAUUCCAUUUAGUAUGCUAUACAAUAAAACACUGAACCAUGUUAUCUGAAUAGCCAGGUGCAGUUUGUAUUGCAAAGAGUAGGCUGUAAAUUCACUGAAUCAUGUGUCUCAUAUUUUACCGGUUUAUAUUUACUGAUAGGAUGAUUCUAUUUCUCGUUACUGGUUUUCUCAACAAACAAAAGUUUUACAUGAAGUAUUGUUACUUUCACAUAAAAUAGUUUAUUACUGAUGGGAGGGUUUUAUUCUUAGUUUCUCGUUUUGAGAAGACAGCAAGUUCUCAGCUUUUUUUUCUGAAGUUCUGACGGAUGGCAUAGUUAGUACUAUGGCAUUGCAAUGGGAUAAUUGAAGCACUGCAAUAAGCUGGUAAUAGUUUUUUUUCCCAUCUUUGCAAGAGGAGGCAACCUAUAGGGAUGGUGGGAUAUUUGUACUUAUCUUUUAGCCUUAAUAUGGACCUGAGUUCUUACUGCAGGGAGUGCAACAAUUCCAUGUAACCAAAAGUAUGAAUUGGACACAGUACAGUUCAAGAACAGGUUCUUCUCUACGAAAAUAAAUUGGCAAGGCUACCUUAGAGUUGAAAAAAUCUAGGAUUGCAAGAGCAUUGCAAGGGAGAACUUCUGAAAAGGAACUGUGAGUACAAAGAAGAGCUCACAACAAGUAUAGAGUUCUUGCAUUGCAUUAACAUAUGAUUUUUUUUAAAAAAAUAUUUAGUAUAAUGUCAUUAUUGUUUUUCCUAGCAACUAAAGUCUGCGAUUCAGAGAACAAUACUAAUACUAUUAUGCACAUACUUCUAUC